GUACAAGGAUUAAGAAAAUGAUUGAAUAACCACAUUACUAAAAAAAAAAUACAAAUAAUUGACUAAAGUACAUUAUAUUAAAAAUUUAAAUGGUAUUUAUACUUAAGAAAAUAAACUCUAAUUUAAUUCUAGAAUUUAAACUAAACAGUUAUAGCACAAAACUACAUAAUUGAGGUUUGUCAACUUAACAAAACUUAAAACUCUAUAAAUGAAGUCAUCACCUGAACCGGAACGGAAGCACCAAACCGAACCAAGAACCAAGUUUUGAUUCUAAGUAUCCUCAGUUCCAGUUCCAGUUCCGAGGGAGGAGGGGGAGAAAAU
rnacentral:misc_RNA from 1 species